GGAGAGGGCUGGACACAGCGGGCAGUGCCGAGUGGAGUUGGGGCUGGCUGGCAGUGUGCCAUGCUGGCAGGAGGGGAGAGGGCUGGACACAGCGGGCAGUGCCGAGCGGAGGUGGGGCUGGCUGGCACUGUGCCAUGCUGGGAGGAAGGGAGAGGGCUGGACACAGCGGGCAGUGCCGAGCGGAGGUGGGGCUGGCUGG